rnacentral:rRNA from 1 species
GACGAUCGCUGGCGGCGUGCUUAACACAUGCAAGUCGAACGGAAAGGCCCUGCUUUUGUGGGGUGCUCGAGUGGCGAACGGGUGAGUAACACGUGAGUAACCUGCCCUUGACUUUGGGAUAACUUCAGGAAACUGGGGCUAAUACCGGAUAGGAGCUCCUGCUGCAUGGUGGGGGUUGGAAAGUUUCGGCGGUUGGGGAUGGACUCGCGGCUUAUCAGCUUGUUGGUGGGGUAGUGGCUUACCAAGGCUUUGACGGGUAGCCGGCCUGAGAGGGUGACCGGACACAUUGGGACUGAGAUACGGCCCAGACUCCUACGGGAGGCAGCAGUGGGGAAUAGUGCACAAUGGGCGGAAGCCUGAUGCAGCAACGCCGCGUGCGGGAUGACGGCCUUCGGGUUGUAAACCGCUUUCGCCUGUGACGAAGCGUGAGUGACGGUAAUGGGUAAAGAAGCACCGGCUAACUACGUG